CCUACGGGAGGCAGCAGUGAGGAAUAUUGGUCAAUGGACGAGAGUCUGAACCAGCCAAGUAGCGUGAAGGAUGACUGCCCUAUGGGUUGUAAACUUCUUUUAUAUGGGAAUAAAAUGUGCCACGUGUGGCUUUUUGCAUGUACCUUAUGAAUAAGGAUCGGCUAACUCCGUGCCAGCAGCCGCGGUAAUACGGAGGAUCCGAGCGUUAUCCGGAUUUAUUGGGUUUAAAGGGAGCGUAGGUGGGUGGUUAAGUCAGUUGUGAAAGUUUGCGGCUCAACCGUAAAAUUGCAGUUGAAACUGGCAGUCUUGAGUACAGUAGAGGUAGGCGGAAUUCGUGGUGUAGCGGUGAAAUGCUUAGAUAUCACGAAGAACUCCGAUUGCGAAGGCAGCUUACUGUACUGUAACUGACACUGAGGCUCGAAAGUGUGGGUAUCAAACAGGAUUAGAUACCCUAGUAGUC
rnacentral:rRNA from 1 species